UGUGUAAUUCACUGUGUUCUAGUAUAUCCAAUGUACUGGACUGAACAGAGAAAAUCAUGUGCAGCAUACUUGCCGCAGUGGUUCUCAAACCUCAAACCCCGCCCAAAGAUCUGACAUUGGGGUGUUACAGUGGGUCCAGUCUCAUCAGCGAGAUAAUCAGACAAACUCUGCCA